UUACUGAAUUCUUCCUCUCAUUUAAACAAAAUUUCUAAUUUGUUCGAUGUUCAAUUCUGUACACACUCAAUAAAUAUAAACGAACAAAUAUUUACAAGAGUUAAUUAAAAUAAAACCAAAUAAAAGUGGUAAAUAAAAUAUGUACCCAAAUAAACUUACAACAAGCUCCACGUGUCAUCAAUUCGUACUUAGCCAACAAGAUUGCAGAAUCGGUCCAUGCAAAAAUAAAAAACAACGCAAAUGUAAAUAUCCAAAGAUGUAUAAAAUCUCAAACAAAUAUUCAAACCCAAAUCCCAAUUUCAAAUUAGUCCCAUAAAUUUUGUCAAUUUAAAAUGAGCCCAAAUUACUAUAGGUCUUAACCCAUAACAUCCAAAUUAAUAACCAAAAAUACAAACACAAUCAACCAAACCUAAAAUUAGAUAAAUUAAAAUAAAUUCUACUAGGCCUAAACUUAAUAUUUUAUAAUCUAAGCCUAGUUUAAUAUACACCACAAUUGUCCUAUGUCCAAAUUAAACAAUUUAAAUUGGUCAAGCCCAUAUCAAAUAUUCAAAUAAUCCAACAAAUCUCACCCACAUUAUGGGCCCCAAAAUCCACAUCAAUUAACAAACCCACAUAAAAAAAAAACACAUGGUCAAGAGAAAUAAUAUUUCAAGCCCAAUCCAAUAAGCCCAAACAAAUAACAAUUUAACAAUAUGCCCAAGUCCAAAUAAACAAAAUGCAAUUGAUACAAUCUAAAUAUCCUCAAAUUAAUCACCAAAUACAAUAUGCCCACAAACCCAAAUUAACAAAUUUCAAAUUAAUUCACUAACAAUAAAUAAAAUCAAAUUAUGUAUUAAUCUACCAACAACAAAUUAACCCCAAAUUUCAUAUUAAUUCAACAAUCCAAAUUUCAUAAACAACAAUUACUACUAAAAUAAAUUAAAAUAACAACAAUAACAAUAACAAUAAUAAUAAUAACAAUAACAAUAAUAAUAACAAUA
rnacentral:lncRNA from 1 species